rnacentral:lncRNA from 10 species
GGAAGUAACCCACCAAAGUGAAAAAGAGGAACAAGUUCUAACCCAAUGCAGGUUUAAAACAUAACCAAAAGAACAAAAGAGAGAGCUUGACACACCAAUCUUGAGGUGUUGUGCCAUUCUCUGGGAACAUACAGAUGAAAUGACCUGAACCCUGCCCACCAUUUAACCAACAGGUUUCUGGAUGGCAGAUCAUUCAACCUUCUUUUUCUUGAGUUUUCUACUCUGCUGUCAUCUUCCACUCAUUUCUGCUUCAUUUUGUGAUUCGUUAACAGAAAAGGAAGUGGAAUGGAAUAAAAUCCCCCAAUACAGUACAAUUAUACAUUAAUGGCUGUAAUGUGAAGAGCAUCACACACGAAGAGAGCCAUCUUCCAGAAAUAAGUUUAUACACUCUCUCCUCUAAUUGCAUCAGGACUUUACCAGAUAAUGUUCUUCCAGAUCUGAAAAGGAAAAUGCCUAAAAGAGCUUCCAAACUCAUUUUUGAAUAAUACUAGGCUACAAAGAAUUACACUGUGAAUUCAUUAAGGGUAACACCAAAUCACUAAACAGCACUGUUUGUACAGAAAUGUCGAAAAGCUGUGGAAAUAAUUUAGCGGCCAUUUCUGUAGGAAUUUCGCUUCUUUUACUCUUAGUGGUUUGUGGAAUUGGGUGUGUUUGGCACUGGAAACACCGUGUUGCCACACGAUUUACCUUACCGAGGUUUUUACAAAGGAGAAGCAGCAGGAGAAAAGUCUGUACUAAAACAUUCUUGGGCCCCCGCAUCAUUGGCUUA